GUUCGAGGAUUCCGAGCCUCAUAUGGAGAUCUGUAUUCGUAUCUUGAAGGAGGAAAGGAGAGGAAAGUAUCCGAGACAAUCUUUCUAGGUAUCCUGUAGUGAGAAGAAAACUGGGGGUAGACUUGUGGCUCUGACAUUUCCUGGCUGUGUGACCCUGGAAAGAAUCCUUCAUUUACACCAGAAGAUGAGAACACAAGAUACCCCUUCAAAUUCUGGACAAUUAAGUGUUGAUAUGCUUUAUACAUUCACAGUAUGUAUCACAAAAAUUAUAAACACUUACAAGAAAAUAAUAGAUUAGAUGAAGAGGAGAAAGGAUGUGUCAAAAAUAAGAUUAUAAAGAGCCCCUUAUCAUGCUUCCUUUUGUAUAUUGUCUUUCCUCCUUAGAUUGUAAACUUGUGAUCCGAAACUGUUUUCCUCCCUAAUUUGCAUCUCCAGAACUUAGCACAGGGUCUGGCACAUAGUGGGUGCUUA